UCUGGCGGCCAUAGCGGUUUGGAACCACCCCUUCCCAUCCCGAACAGGACCGUGAAACGAGCCCGCGCCAAUGAUAGUAUGCAUUCCGCAUGCGAAAGUAGGUCACCGCCAGAC
rnacentral:rRNA from 1 species